rnacentral:lncRNA from 1 species
AGCGUUGCAAGUGCAGAAACCAGCUCUAUGUGGUCAGUGCCCUGAGCUGCAGCAGCAGCAGAGGCCUGAACGCCUUCCUCUGUGGGCACUGCCGUGAAAUUUAGGCGUGGUGUGCUCCUCCGCAACCCGGGUCUUGAUUCUACAGAAGAAGAAGCCAUAUCUCACCUUGAAGAGGUUUUCCUGCUGGAGGGGACUAUCUCUGAGCGACGGGGGCAGACUUCAUGGCUCAAGUGCCCUCCUGAAGAGGGCAGGAUGUUGGCACAUUUCACAUCCAGGAGGCCUGCAGAGGUGACCCUUGGUGCCUUGUGCAAGGCCGGC